UGCCACCAAUUUUCAUACAGUUACACCUGUACUUUCAAUGUUACAUUUUCUUCUCUUGAUCUUUUAGACAAGAGGGAUUAGUACUGAAAGAUCCUGCAGCAAAAGCCUUUGAAGCUCACUUCUUAGAGGUGCUGCUGUUACAACAGAUAAAAUGAGCUGGCAGAAAGGAAAGAAGGAACUUACAGAAGAAAGCACAGGAGAUGGGAAACACAACCGAAAGAAGCGGGAGCGAGUAUUUAAGAAAAGAUUUUCUGGACUGAGUUUCUUCUCUGGGUCUCCUAGGAAUAAACUCCCUCAGGGAAGGAGUCAGAGUUUUGAAGACAAGAAGAGAUGCUUACACAGGAAAGGUUCCAAAAAGCUGAAACCAGCACGGGAAGAAAUAUGUUCUUUAAGGCAACCACAUUCUGGAAAAAUGUGUCCAAAAUGUGAAAUCCUUGUCUGCCGAAAAUGUGAGACCCUGCAUUCAGAAAGCAGUUUCAUUGCUCACAGCCUACUUGAUCACUACGACAGAGGAGGACGUGGCAGCUCUACUGCACUAAUUACAAAAAGCCAGAAAGUAUGCAGAGGUGAUUAAAGAAUUACUGUGGGUGCCCUGUUGAUACCUGACUACAUCAAGAAAGCUGAAGCUUGGAUCCAUUUAGGCUGAAGCCUCAGUUUGCACAAUCUGAAUGCAGCAUCAGCAACUGCAGCUGUGACGCUGUUCAUACUUACCAUAUGUAGCAGAUACACAUUCACUCAUUUAACCAGUAUAAAGUCUGUGAGCAGGAACUGUAAGUGUCUCAGCUAUUAAGAACAGGAAAUGAUUUCAAAAGCUUCAAAGAGUUUUAUUUUUCCCCUCAAGGAAUCAAGAUUAUCACAUUGAGCUGCGAAAGAGAAAGCAAGUAUUAAAUGCAGAACAUUACAAUUGUUUGUAAUGUGUAGGUAUG